rnacentral:rRNA from 1 species
GACAGAGGUGGCGAGCGUUGUUCGGAAUUACUGGGCUUAAAGGGCGCGUAGGCGGUUAUACAAGUCUGUGGUGGAAUCUCAUGGCUUAACCAGGGGGCUGCCGUGGAAACUGUAUGACUUGAGUUGGUGAGGGGAAGGCGGAAUAUCUGGUGUAGCGGUGAAAUGCGUAGAUAUCAGGUAGAAGGCCUGUGGCGAAGGCGGCCUUCUGGCGCUUAACUGACGCUGAGGCGCGAAAGCGUGGGGCGCACACAGG